UAGGAGACAAGGAAGAUAUAUAAGGAAGGAAUCAUUUGACAGUUGGGCUUUUACCACUGGACCUGGAGGGAGUAGUAGCCUCUCGCAGUCAAGGGCCACUUCUGACAGUUUGACUACUGACAGUUGGGAUGGAGAAAAACAAAUUUAAAGAGUUCGUAGGUUUGAUUUUGGCUAUUUUUUUUUCAUCCAGCAACUGUAUGAAUUAACCUCAUAGAGACACGUGUGAAAAGAAACACAAGAAUCUGUUCUCACCAGAUGGUUGGGGGGAGGCAGUCUGUGCUUCUACAGGCUGCCUUCUCCCUCCUCCCCAGCCUGCUUCCAAAAUUAGGGUGUCUGGAGAAUGCGAAACAAAAUUAUACAAAGACCUGACCUCUGGCCUCGCUGCUGUCUUUCAGUCUGUGAAGUACCCAAGAGAGAGAGUGUUGAAUUUGGCCUCACUUCACAUGGCAUUAACUGUAAUCUUUGUGAAUUGUGGUGACAUCAUGGCAUACUUUGACAUCACCGCUUAGGCUCCCUUCUGCUGCUGGGCAUACAGUUGAGAAUUUCUAUUCAAACACAAGCCUCUUUUGUAAAGGAGACAGGAGAGCAGCUGGUCUUCUGCCCUGGUACAAAUGUGGCUCCCACUGGAAUGUAUCCAUACAAGCAGAGAGCACUCACAAAGCAGUCAUUCUGUUGCUGUGGUCAGACACGCUCACGCACGCAUGCACGCACAUACAAGGGGAACCCCUAUAAAAUAACACAAGAAAAUUUGUAUUUUCUAGUUCAAAACCCUAGACCAUGCCACCAUUCAGCUGAGUUUUGUGGACAAUAAAGAUCUCACUAAAAGG